rnacentral:rRNA from 1 species
AGCAGCCGCGGUAAUUCCAGCUCCAAUAGCGUAUAUUAAAGUUGUUGCAGUUAAAAAGCUCGUGGUUGAAUUUCGGGGUUAGUAGAUUGGUCGUGCCUUCGGUAUGUACUGGUCUUACUGAUUCCUCCUUCCUGAUGAACCGUAAUGCCAUUAAUUUGGUGUUGCGGGGAAACUGGACUGUUACUUUGAAAAAAUUAGAGUGUUUAAAGCAGGCUAACGCUUGAAUACAUUAGCAUGGAAUAAUGAAAUAGGACGUUCGAUCUUAUUUUGUUGGUUUCUAGGAUUGACGUAAUGAUUAAUAGGGAUAGUUGGGGGCAUUAGUAUUCAAUUGUCAGAGGUGAAAUUCUUGGAUUUAUUGAAGACUAACUACUGCGAAAGCAUUUGCCAAGGAUGUUUUCAUUAAUCAAGAACGAAAGUUAGGGGAUCGAAGACGAGUCAGAUACCGUCGUAGUCUUAACCAUAAACUAUGCCGACUAGGGAUCGGAUGAUGUUAAUUUUUAUGACUCAUUCGGCGCCUUAC